AUUGAACGCUGGCGGCAGGCCUAACACAUGCAAGUCGAGCGGACAGAGGGGGAUCUCGCCUGUCUGCAGCUGCCGACGGACGGGUGAGGCAUAGGUAGAUACCUGACCGAGAGGAAUGACGUCAGGACACGGGAGCUGAGACAACAUACGUUAAGAUAUUGAACGGGAGGGUUCUUCGGAGCUCACGGGUUUAGAUGAGACUAAGUCGCAUUAGCUAGUUGGAUGGGUAACGGCUUACCAAGGCGACGAUCCGUAGCUGAUCUGAGAGGAUGAUCAGCCACACUGGAACUGAGACACGGUCCAGACUCCUACGGGAGGCAGCAGUAGGGAAUCUUCCGCAAUGGGCGAAAGCCUGACGGAGCAACGCCGCGUGAGUGAUGAAGGUCUUCGGAUCGUAAAGCUCUGUUAGUAGGGAAGAACAACAGUGUAAGUAACUCUGCAUGUCUUGACGGUACCUAAACAAAAAGCCCCGGCUAACUACGUG
rnacentral:rRNA from 1 species